CGCGUAGGCGGUUAUUUAAGUCGGAUGUGAAAGCCCUGGGCUUAACCUGGGAACUGCAUUCGAUACUGGACGACUAGAGUACGAGAGAGGGAGGUAGAAUUCCACGUGUAGCGGUGAAAUGCGUAGAUAUGUGGAGGAAUACCAGUGGCGAAGGCGGCCUCCUGGCUCGAUACUGACGCUGAGGUGCGAAAGCGUGGGGAGCAAACA
rnacentral:rRNA from 1 species